rnacentral:rRNA from 1 species
GGGGGCCCUUGCGGUCACCGGCAGAAUGCUCAGUAACACGUCGAUAAUCUAACCUUAAGUAUGGCAUAACCUCGGAAAACUGAGGCUAAUUCCAUAUAGGUGAUAUAUUCUGGAAUGAUUUAUCACUUAAAGCCACGGCGCUUAAGGAUGAGUCGGCGGCCGAUUAGGUUGUUGGUGGGGUAAUGGCCCACCAAGCCUAUGAUCGGUACGGGCCUUGAGAGAGGUAGCCCGGAGAAGGGAACUGAGACACUUUCCCUAGCCCUAAGGGGUGCAGCAGGCGCGAAACCUUUACAAUGCACGAAAGUGUGAUAAGGGAAUCCCAAGUGCUCAUACUUUGUAUGGGCUUUUGCCAUGGUUAAAACCCAUGGCGAAUAAGUGGUGGGAAAGACUGGUGCCAGCAGCCGCGGUAACACCAGCGCCACAAGUGGCAAUCAUGUUUAUUGGGCCUAAAGCGUCCGUAGCCGGUUUGGUAAAUCUUUUGUGAAAUUACUCGGCUUAACCGAGUAGCGUGCAGAAGAGACUGCCAGACUAGGAACCGGGAGGAGUCAGAGGUAUUCCGUGGGGAGCGGUAAAAUGCUAUAAUCCUCGGAGGACCACCUGUGGCGAAGGCGUCUGACCAGAACGGAUUCGACGGUGAGGGACGAAAGCCAGGGGAGCAAACCGGAUUAGAUACCCGAGUAGUCCUGGCCGUAAACGCUGCGAGCUAGGUGUUGCACAAUUUAUAGGAUUGUGCAAUGUCGGAGCGAAGGUGUUAAGCUCGCCGCCUGGGAAGUAUAGUCGCAAGACCGAAACUUAAAGGAAUUGGCGGGGGAGCACUACAAGGGGUGCGGCGUGCGGUUUAAUUGAACUCAACGCCGGAAAUCUCACCAGCAGCGACGGCAGAAUGAAGGUCAGAUUGAAGGUCUUACCUGACAAGCCGAGAGGAGGUGCAUGGCCGUCGUCAGCUCGUGCCGUGAGGUGUCCAGUUAAGUCUGGCAACGAGCGAGACCCAUACCUACAAUUGCCAUCGACUAGUUUACUAGGAUCGGGCACAAUGUAGGGACUGCCUGGGAAACCAGGAGGAAGGUGUGGUCUACGGUAGGUCUGUAUGCCCCGAAUCUGCUGGGCUACACGCGCGCAACAAUGGUAGGGACAAUGGGAUGCAACUCCGAAAGGAGAAGCUAAACCUCUAAACCCUAUCCAAGUACAGAUCGUGGGCUGUAACUCGCCCACGUGACGAUGGAAUCCCUAGUAAUCGGAAGUCAACAUCUUCCGGUGAAUAUGUCCCUGCUCCUUGCACACACCGCCCGUCAAACCACCCGAGUAGGGUUUAGGUGAGUUCAUGUUUCUUGACAUGGCCGAACCUAGGCCAAGCGAGGUGGGUUAAGUCGUCACAAGGUA